CACCAGUUUAAAUCCAUUAUCUUGAGACUUAACGUCGUACUGUGGUCCAUCCAUCUUCAUCAGUCUCAUUUUUAGUACGACGGAGAGAUUCCCUAUCUUUCUCAGCUCUCCAUGAGGCCUUCUCUUUUUCACCUUCUCUUUCUCGGUCUCGGUCUCUUUCUCGGUCUCUUGAAAGAGCUGGGGGAGGAACUCGACGAGGAGGGUCCCGCUCUUCCACCCGGUCAUCUUUCCUGUCAUCAGCACGUCUCCAAGAACUUACUUCUUCACGUUCUGAUCUGAGUGGAGGUCCUCUUCGGUCCCUGUCGUCUCUUAGAUCUCGUCUUUCUCUUAGAUCACGCCGGUCAUCCCUCUCACGGCGACGGUCAUCCCUAUCCCUAUCGUCCCGGCGACUUGAGUCUCUCCAGCUUGAAGAUUCCUCAGCUGGUCCUCUUCUCCAGCCACCUUCAUCCCUAGGUCUUCUGAAGCGAUCCUCUCGAUCCACAUCUCUCUCUCUGUCCCUUUCUCUCUCAGGGUCCUUGUCAUUCUCCUCCCGAUCUUGAUUAUCUCUGUCCCUUUCUUUUUCUCUGUCCCAUUCACGUUCUUCUGAUGGCCUUGAUUCUCGAGGUGGACCCCAGCUCUCCUCUCUGGCUUUUUCUUUCUCUCUCCAUCCACCUGGCUUGACUAAUGGUCUCCAAGGACCAGGUCUUGAGUCAUCACCCCGUCUGGGAAACCGAUCAUCAUCAGCACGUCUUGAAAGGCGAUCAUCAUCCAUGUUUCUCCAAGGGCCCCUGUCAUCCUCUGCACCACGCCUGGGAAUUCUGUCAUCAUCGGCGUUCCUCCAAGGUCCUCGAUCAUCAUCCAACCCUCGCCUGGGACCCCGGUCAUCAUCCAUGCCUCGCCUGGGACCCCGGUCAUCAUCCAUGCCUCGCCUGGGACCCCGGUCAUCAUCCAUGCCUCGCCUGGGACCCCGAUCAUCAUCCAACCCUCGCCUGGGACCCCGGUCAUCAUCAGCAUUACGCCAGGAUGAUCGCUCAUCAUCAGCGCCUCCUCGCCUCGGCCCCCGGUCAUCAUCCAUCCCACGUCUUGGUCCUCUGUCCUCAUCAGCUGUUCGCCAGCUUCCUCUGUCCUCAUCCAGUCCUCGUCUAGGUGGUCUGUCAUCAUCCGCAUGACGCCAGUUUCCCCUGUCUUCAUCGGCAAUUCGUCUGGGAGGCCUGUCAUCAUCUGUGUUACGCCAGGAAGGCCGGUCAUCGUCUGCCCCACGACGAGAGAACCUAUCUUCCUCAGGACCACGUCUAGGGCCUCUGUCAUCAUCCAUGCCACGCCGGGGAACCCGAUCAUCGUCUGGUCUAAGAGAGGGCUCUCUAUCUUCAUCAUCCCCCAGACGCCGGGGCCGCUCUUCAUCUCUUCUAUGAGACCUGUCCUCAUCUCGCCCUUCUCCACGUCUCCACUCCUUCUCUGGCGGGCCUCUUCUCCACUCAGAAUCUGCUUCAGGUCCUUUUCUCCAGGUGCCUUCUGAAUCUCUAUCUCCCCAACGAGAGUCCUUUCUAGAAAGGGAACUAUCGCCAAGUCUUCUCUCUUCCUCUCUACGCCGUUCUCGUUCUUCAAUUUCCAACUCCCUUUGGCGUUUUUUCCUUUCCACUUCUUCUAAUUUCUUCACCCGCUCCUGAUACUCUCGUAGCUCUUCCUCGCGUUUUGCUCGUUCGGCGCGCUCUCUCUCUUCCCGCUCUUUUAGCAUUUGUUCUUCUGCCCUUCUCUGCUCCUCCUCUUCUUUUUCUCUAUAGUAUGUUAUCCUGCGUUCUUCUUUACGCUGCCUUUUCCGUUCUUCCAAUCGAUUAUGCCUUUCUUCUGCUAAUCGCUCUUCAAACUGUUUAAGUUUUUCCUCAUAAACAGACUGCCGUGCAGCUUUGAGUCGCAUUACGAAUAAAUCUCUGUCUUCAAGCAUUCGUGACAUUCGAUUCUUAUGUUCAAGAGCCUUUUCACGUUCUAGCUGCAUUGUAGUAAUUCUUUCUUCCUCUUGUUGCUCCCACAGAUCCAUGUCUUUAAUUCUCUGUUCCUCGUAAGCGCUCUUUAUCAAAGGAAUUUCUUCCAAACGUUUGGCUCUUUCAAAAUAGUCAAUCUUCUUUUCUUGAUUCUUUAGGCGUUCUUGAAGUUCUUUCUUUUCUUUCUCCAGUUGUUCAACCUGUUUAGCCAUGAUAAAAUCUGGAUCCAAUUCCUCAAGGUCUUCAAUAUCAAUAUCUUUGAAUGCUUUGGCACCCAGUUCUGUUUUCUUGAUCUGCUCCAAACGCUCUCGGACAGUUUUCUUUUUGAUUUGUUCAUGUUCCUGUAAGAUACGCUCCUUCUCUCUCUCCUUUGCUUCCUGGCGCAGCCUCUCUUCCUCAGCCUUCCGCACUUUCUGGAGUUCAGCUUCCCUCUGUUCCAAUUCUUCUUUCUCACGCUGAAUAUUCAGACUCUCAAGGCGCUCUUUUCUCUCCUCAAUUGUCUGGCGGCGAGCCAGGAUCCGCUGGUGCUCUUUUCGUGAAUUUUUAAGGUAUGCAGUGACAGCCAACUGAUGCUGUUCUUCUUUCUCUUGCAGUAUAUGAGCUGGUUUAAUGACUUCAAGUGCUUUUGCAAGUACUGAGGACAUGGCUGUCAGCUGGUUUCUUAUCUGCUCUGAAGGCAUGCUUUGCAAAUGAGGACCAAUCGGAGCAUCUUCUCGAGUAGCAUAAUUCA
rnacentral:lncRNA from 1 species